UACGAAGGGGGCUAGCGUUGCUCGGAAUUACUGGGCGUAAAGCGCACGUAGGCGGAUUGUUAAGUCGGGGGUGGAAUCCUGGAGCUCAACUCCAGAACUGCCUUCGAUACUGGCGAUCUCGAGUUCGGGAGAGGUGAGUGGAACUGCGAGUGUAGAGGUGAAAUUCGUAGAUAUUCGCAAGAACACCAGUGGCGAAGGCGGCUCACUGGCCCGAUACUGACGCUGAGGUGCGAAAGCGUGGGGAGCAAACAGG
rnacentral:rRNA from 1 species